GGAUAUAGCUCAGUGGUAGAGUGCCUGCUUAGCAUGCACAAGGUCCUGGGUUCAAUCCCUGGUACUUCCA
rnacentral:tRNA from 1 species